rnacentral:rRNA from 1 species
AUAGCACGCAUUGAAGUGGUCGACCGACCCGGUCUUUANCCAUCAUUUUCUAAGGUUGACCUCGGAUCAGGUAGGAAUACCCGCUGAACUUAAGCAUAUCAAUAAGCGGAGGAAAAGAAACCAACAGGGAUUACCCUAGUAACGGCGAGUGAAGCGGUAACAGCUCAAAUUUGAAAUCUGACCUUCACGGGUCCGAGUUGUAAUUUGUAGAGGAUGUUUCGGAUAAGGCUUUGGUUUAAGUUUCUUGGAACAGAACGUCAUAGAGGGUGAGAGUCCCGUCUAGAACCGAUAGCCGCGUUCAUGUGAAACUCCUUCGACGAGUCGAGUUGUUUGGGAAUGCAGCUCAAAAUGGGUGGUAAAUUUCAUCUAAAGCUAAAUAUUGGCCAGAGACCGAUAGCGCACAAGUAGAGUGAUCGAAAGAUGAAAAGCACUUUGAAAAGAGAGUUAAACAGUAUGUGAAAUUGUUGAAAGGGAAGCGCUUGCAACCAGACUUGUGUUUAACGGUUCCCCUGUGUCUUUUGACCAGGCUAUUCCGUUAUAUCCAGGCCAGCAUCGGUUCGGGUGGUUGGUUAAAGACCUUGGGAAUGUAUCUACCUUCGGGUCGACUUAUAGCUCAGGGUGUAAUGCGGCCUACCUAGACCGAGGAACGCGCUUUUGCUCGGAUGCUGGCGUAAUGGUUGUAAGCGGC